GAUGAACGCUAGCGGCAGGCCUAAUACAUGCAAGUCGAACGGAAUAUAGUUUUCGGAUUAUAUUUAGUGGCGCACGGGUGAGUAACACGUACAUAACUUACCCUCAAGAGGGGGAUAGCCUUGGGAAACUGAGCGUAAUACCCCAUAGUAUUAUUGAACGGCAUCGUUUGAUAAUUAAAGCUACGGCGCUUGAGGAUAGAUGUGCGUCUGAUUAGCUAGUUGGUAAGGUAACGGCUUACCAAGGCGACGAUCAGUAGGGGGCGUGAGAGCGUGGCCCCCCACACGGGUACUGAGACACGGACCCGACUCCUACGGGAGGCAGUAGUAAGGAAUAUUGGUCAAUGCCCGGAAGGGUGAACCAGCCAUGCCGCGUGAAGGAUGACUGCCCUCUGGGUUGUAAACUUCUUUUGGAUGGGACGAAAAAACGGGAUUUAUCCUGGACUGACGGUACCAUCAGAAUAAGCACCGGCUAACUCCGUGCCAGCAGCCGCGG
rnacentral:rRNA from 1 species